GGUAACAUUUCUAGCUUGCUAGAAUAUGACGAGCGGCGGACGGGUGAGUAAUGCUUGGGAACAUGCCUUGAGGUGGGGGACAACAGUUGGAAACGACUGCUAAUACCGCAUAAUGUCUACGGACCAAAGGGGGCUUCGGCUCUCGCCUUUAUAUUGGCCCAAGUGGGAUUAGCUAGUUGGUGAGGUAAUGGCUCACCAAGGCGACGAUCCCUAGCUGGUUUGAGAGGAUGAUCAGCCACACUGGGACUGAGACACGGCCCAGACUCCUACGGGAGGCAGCAGUGGGGAAUAUUGCACAAUGGGCGCAAGCCUGAUGCAGCCAUGCCGCGUGUGUGAAGAAGGCCUUCGGGUUGUAAAGCACUUUCAGUCAGGAGGAAAGGUUAGUAGUUAAUACCUGCUAGCUGUGACGUUACUGACAGAAAAAGCACCGGCUAACUCCGUGCCAGCAGCCGCGGUAAUACGGAGGGUGCGAGCGUUAAUCGGAAUUACUGGGCGUAAAGCGUACGCAGGCGGUUUGUUAAGCGAGAUGUGAAAGCCCCGGGCUCAACCUGUGAACUGCAUUUCGCACUGUCAAACUAGAGUGUGAUAGAGAGUGGUAGAAUUUCAGGUGUAGCGCUGAGAUGCGUAGAGAUCUGAAGGAAUACCGAUGGCGAAGGCAGCCACCUGAGUCAACACUGACGCUCAUGUACGAAAGCGUGAGGAGCAAACAGGAUUAGAUACCCUGGUAGUCCACGCCGUAAACGAUGUCUACUAGAAGCUCGGAACCUCGGUUCUGUUUUUCAAAGCUAACGCAUUAAGUAGACCGCCUGGGGAGUACGGCCGCAAGGUUAAAACUCAAAUGAAUUGACGGGAGCCCGCACAAGCGGUGGAGCAUGUGGUUUAAUUCGAUGCAACGCGAAGAACCUUACCUACACUUGACAUACAGAGAAC
rnacentral:rRNA from 1 species